rnacentral:rRNA from 1 species
GAUGAACGCUGGCGGCGUGCUUAACACAUGCAAGUCGAACGGGAAACCUUUUAUUGAAGCUUCGGCAGAUUUAGCUGGUUUCUAGUGGCGGACGGGUGAGUAACGCGUGGGUAACCUGCCUUAUACAGGGGGAUAACAACCAGAAAUGGUUGCUAAUACCGCAUAAGCGCACAGGACCGCAUGGUCCGGUGUGAAAAACUCCGGUGGUAUAAGAUGGACCCGCGUUGGAUUAGCUAGUUGGCAGGGUAACGGCCUACCAAGGCGACGAUCCAUAGCCGGCCUGAGAGGGUGAACGGCCACAUUGGGACUGAGACACGGCCCAGACUCCUACGGGAGGCAGCAGUGGGGAAUAUUGCACAAUGGGGGAAACCCUGAUGCAGCGACGCCGCGUGAAGGAAGAUGUAUCUCGGUAUGUAAACUUCUAUCAGCAGGGAAGAUAGUGACGGUACCUGACUAAGAAGCCCCGGCUAACUACGUG